rnacentral:rRNA from 1 species
AACGCGAAGAACCUUACCUACCCUUGACAUGUCUGGAAUCCUGAAGAGAUUUGGGAGUGCUCGAAAGAGAGCCAGAACACAGGUGCUGCAUGGCCGUCGUCAGCUCGUGUCGUGAGAUGUUGGGUUAAGUCCCGCAACGAGCGCAACCCUUGUCAUUAGUUGCUACGAAAGGGCACUCUAAUGAGACUGCCGGUGACAAACCGGAGGAAGGUGGGGAUGACGUCAGGUCAUCAUGGCCCUUAUGGGUAGGGCUACACACGUCAUACAAUGGCCGGGACAGAGGGCUGCCAACCCGCGAGGGGGAGCUAAUCCCAGAAACCCGGUCGUAGUCCGGAUCGUAGUCUGCAACUCGACUGCGUGAAGUCGGAAUCGCUAGUAAUCGCGGAUCAGCUUGCCGACCGGAAU